UAAAAGAUAGUUUACACUAAAAUUAUGGCUUUGGGAGCCAUUGAUGGAUGCCUAUUUCCUCUUUUAA
rnacentral:tRNA from 1 species